GUUCCUGUGGCCUGUUGUUGCCUUAAUGUCUGAAGCUUUCACAUCUCUGCCUGCACAGGCCAUGAUUUGCUGAUGAACCCACUGGUGAGCAGUGCAUCUUGAAAAGAUGAAAACAUCAGAACUUACUGCUUGCAGAGUACUUAAAUCAUGAAUCAUUUGAAUGCCAUCUUCAAGGAGGAGAAUGGAAGACAGGCAGGUGUGUAAUGCUGGACACCUGCAGGAUGCAUUGGACAGAGGAUCUCUACACACAAACCUGGAAACAUUGCAGAAGAACAGAGGCAAUGAAGGUGUGACAAGACUAAGACCGAGAUGGAGAAAGACAAAACCAGAGUUUUGGAGUUCCUUAGGACACCACAUCCUCACCUUAGGACCCAGCAGAAGAAACUAGAAAAACACCACUUCAAGUUGUAAUUGGAUACAAGAUACUAAUUACAUAAAGCAUGCAUGUUGAUGGCACGACUUUCAGUGUACUGAAAGACAGUUUCUCCUAGACAGCGUGCCUCCUGCACGUCAAACUGAUGACUGUCUUUUGGUCAAGAACAUGUUCAAUGGGGAGUCUGACCAGUUUCAGCAUGUUACUGGCAGGAGACACUGCUCGAGUGGGUUCCUGUGUCCAACUCACACUAUGGUGCUGGAGCCCUGAUCUGCACGUACUGCACUGCCACAGUGCCUCUCUCCAUUCCUAAUGUCAGAACUGUCCUGGUCUGCAAUUGUGUCUAUUUUCUGUAGCAAAUGACUUUCACCUCUGGCAUAGUUCUGCACGUCUGGGUCAAUAGACUGCACUGCCUUGAUAGACAAUGAGGGACCUUUGUCCUGGCCGUGGCAGCACAUGAGAUCUUGCUCAGGUGCUGCUUCCCACCCUCGGUGCCCCCACCGUGCUGUGUGCUGCUCGCUGUUGGGGGAACGCUUUGAGCUUUGCCAUAGGCCCUCAAAAGAGGAACUGCAGAGGUAUAAUGGCAUCUUGUGAUGUGGAAGUGCAUCCUGCGCACCAGGCAAUGCCAGCAAAGGCACCGUCCCCUUAUCUCUGUUAUGUAACCACCAUCAAAACG
rnacentral:lncRNA from 1 species